rnacentral:lncRNA from 10 species
GGUCUCACUCUGUCACCCAGGCUGGAGUGCAGUGGCGCAGUCAUGGCUCCCUGUAACCUCAACCUCUCAGACUCCAGCAAUCCUCCUGCGACAGGGAGGCAGUCAAUGGUGAAUGCUGGCCUCGCUGAUUACUCACCUGGAGACCUUUCUGAGGAUCAGUUUUCUCAUCUAGAAAAUGGGACAACUGCCAGACCACUGAAGAAAAUACAGAAAACAGCCCCACACAUCAGCAUGUUUGGUUGCUGCCAGUCUACUUGGAUCUGAGUAUUUUUUCUUGCCAUGAAUGUGACGUGAUUAUCUUCUCCUACAUCACACUGAAGUUUUAUGAAUGA